rnacentral:rRNA from 1 species
UACGUAGGUGGCAAGCGUUGUCCGGAAUUAUUGGGCGUAAAGCGCGCGCAGGCGGUUCCUUAAGUCUGAUGUGAAAGCCCCCGGCUCAACCGGGGAGGGUCAUUGGAAACUGGGGAACUUGAGUGCAGAAGAGAAGAGCGGAAUUCCACGUGUAGCGGUGAAAUGCGUAGAGAUGUGGAGGAACACCAGUGGCGAAGGCGGCUCUUUGGUCUGUAACUGACGCUGAGGCGCGAAAGCGUGGGGAGCAAACAGGA